rnacentral:rRNA from 1 species
CCGAAGAGCAUGCUCUUCGGGGUUGUAGGACACUCUAUACGGAGUCAAAAAGGAAGACAGUAGGUGAAGGACCUGGAAAGGUCGGCCGAAGAAGGUGACAGCCCUGUAGCUGAAACUGUUUUCCCUCCAGAGUGGAUCCUGAGUACGGCGGGACACGUGAAACCCCGUCGGAAUCCGGGAGGACCAUCUCCCAAGGCUAAAUACUCCCUAG